rnacentral:tRNA from 1 species
CAAAAUGUGGCUAAAUUAGCAAAGCACCUCCCUUACACCGAGAAGAUAUCCGCGCAAUUCGGAUCAUUUUGA